UACGGGGGGGGCAAGCGUUGUUCGGAAUUACUGGGCGUAAAGCGCACGUAGGCGGAUCGUUAAGUCGGGGGUUAAAUCCUGGAGCUCAACUCCAGAACUGCCUUCGAUACUGGCGAUCUUGAGUCCGGAAGAGGUGAGUGGAACUCCUAGUGUAGAGGUGGAAUUCGUAGAUAUUAGGAAGAACACCGGUGGCGAAGGCGGCCCACCGGAUCGGUACUGACGCUGAGGUGCGAAAGCGUGGGGAGCAAACAGG
rnacentral:rRNA from 1 species